UCUCUCUCUUCUCUCUAUCUCUCUCGACGGCGACUCGUUUUGCCGGCGAAACGAACCGUUAAUUUCGUCAGACGAAUCCAUCCGCGGUAUCAUCUAGAAGAUUAUCCCCCGGUUUCGAAGUGAAAGGAGGGUCACUUGAAGACAGCAACACAACACGGGAAAUCACAGAAGCAGUUGAGAAUCAUUGAGUCAGAGGUAAAUACUUUGGUUGUUUUGGUUGUUUAAUAGUCGAGAAUGCUUUAUUUCUAUUAAUGCUUUGGUUGUUUAAUAGUCGAGAAUGCUUUGUAUUUGUCUCGGUAAAAAAAUUUAUAUGAUAGGUUUUACUAUAUAAGUUUGAUCACAAUUAAAUUUGUCUUGAUCAUAAAUUGCUUUGGUUGGUGUAGAGUUUUGCUCAUUCAUUGCUUUGCGUGUAAUAGUGAUCUAUUUAAAAUCGUAAUUUAGUUGUGAUCAAAACUUAUAUAGUUGUGAUCAAACCGUAUAAUUUAGUUGUGAUUAAACUUAUAUAGUAAAACCGUAAAUAUUUUGUACUA